AUGGGGGUGUUCACCGCGGUGCUGACUGUUCUGGUGCUGACUGUUCUGGUGCUACGGACGCCUACUUAUUCGCGACUCCGAUCACCGUACUUCACAGUACACAACACCGCCGCCGCGUAUUUCUCUCCGUGCAACGAUGCCAGACCACUCGCGCUUCUGUGCGUCCAGCUCGCCAUCGUUGCCACCGCCGCGGCGUCGCCGGCGAGGGAAAAGGAGGAGGAGCGGUCCUGCUGCAUCGUGCAUGUCGCUCGCGCGCACGCGCCGCCGCUGCCGUGCCGUGGCCUGCUCAAUACCCGGGCGUACGCCUCAUUCCUGCGUGACCGCAUGCCGGCGGACAUGUCCCUUCCGGCGCCGCGGGUGCUCUAUUCCUACUCCCACGCCGCCACGGGCUUCGCGGCUCGCCUCACGGGUCGCCAGGCCGCGCACCUCGCGGCCCAGCGCUCCGUGCUCGCCGUCGUGCCCGAUGUGAUGCAGCAGCUACACACCACGCUGACGCCAUCCUUCCUCGGCCUGUCGGCAUCGUCGGGCUUGCUACCAGCGUCCAACGGCGCCACGGACGUCGUCAUCGGCGUCCUCGACACCGGCGUGUACCCCAUCGACCGCGCGGAGUUCGCGGCGGGCCCGUUGCUGCCGCCGCCGCCCGGCAAGUUCCGCGGUGCCUGCGUCUCGGCUCCGUCGUUCAACGCCUCCGCCUACUGCAAUGGCAAGCUCGUCGGCGCCAAGGUCUUCUACGUGGGGUAUGAGGUUCAACUUGGAGGCCCGAUCAACGAGACGGAGGAGUCCAAGUCGCCGCUCGACACCCUCGGCCAUGGCACCCACACCGCCUCCACCGCCGCCGGCUCUGCCGUCCCGGACGCGGCUUUCUACGGCUACGGCAGAGGGAACGCCGUCGGCAUGGCCCCGGGCGCGCGCGUAGCCUCCUACAAAGUGUGCUGGAAAUGCGGAUGCGCAACCUCCGACAUCCUCGCGGCGUUCGACGAGGCCAUCGCCGACGGGGUCGACGUCAUCUCCGCUUCAUUCGGCUCCUCCGGCUACGCGGAGCCGUUUUAUGUGGACUCCACCGCCGUGGGCGCCUUCAGCGCCGUCCGCAAGGGCAUCAUCGUCUCUGCCGUAGCGGGGAACUCCGGCCCAGCUGAGUCCACCGGCAACAAUAUCGCGCCCUGGUUCUUGACCGUCGGCGCGUUCACCAUCAACCGCCAUUUCCCGGCGGACGUCGUCCUCGGCAACGGCGAUACCUUUUCUGGCGCUUCGCUCUACGCUGGCCCGCCGCUUGGCGCUACCGAGACACCGCUCGUGCAUGGCCGGACCGUCGGCUCGAAAACCUGCGAAGCUGGGAAGCUGAACGCCAGCUUGGUCGCCGGGAAAAUCGCCAUCGCCGACGGGGUCCACGUCAUCUCCGCUUCGUUCGGCUCCUCCGGCUACGCGGAGCCGCUUUAUAUGGACUCCACCGCCGUGGGCGCCUUCAGCGCCGUCCGCAAGGGCAUCAUCGUCUCUGCCGCGGCGGGGAACUCCGGCCCAGCUGAGUCCACCGCCAUCAACAUCGCGCCUUGGUUCCUGACCGUCGGCGCGUCCACCAUGCAUCAACCGCCGUUUCCCGGCGGACGAGAGUCUGUCAAACUCGCCGGCGGCGUCGGAGCAAUCCUCACGAGCACGAAAGAAUUCGGCGAGCUGGUCGUCGGCAGCCCCCACACCUUCCCUACAACAACCGUCACGUUCGCCGCUGCGAAAAGGAUUAAAACGUACAUGAACAAGACUACGUCCCCGGUCGCGACGAUCGUGUUCCGCGGCACGGUCAUCGGCCCGACGCCUCCUUCCCCUAGAAUGGCAUCCUUCUCGAGCCGCGGGCCGAACCUCCACGCGCCGGAGAUCCUCAAGCCGGACGUCACGGCACCCGGCGUGGAGAUCCUCGCCGCUUGGACCGGCGCCGCCUCGCCCUCGGGCCUCGACAGCGACACGAGACGAGUGCACUACAAUGUUCUAUCGGACACAUCCAUGGCGUGCCCACAUGUGAGCGGCAUGAUGACCACCAUGAUGACCACCGCGAUCAAGUCCGCCAUGAUGACCACCGCGUACAACGUGGACAAUGCCGGCCACGUCAUCGGAGACAUGGCCACCGGCAAGGCGUCCACGCCGUUCACGCGCGGGGCAGGCCACGUGGACCCCAACCGCGCCCUUGACCCAGGCCUCGUGUACGACGCCGGCACGGACGACUACGUCACCUUCCUGUGCGCACUCGGCUACACCGCUGACGAGGUUGCCGUCUUCACGAGAGACGGCUCGUCGACCAAUUGCUCGACGCUCCCGGGUUCAGGCUAUGUUGGAGACCACAACUACCCGGCCUUCGUGGCGGUGUUCACCUCGCGCAACGAGACCAUCACGCAGCACCGCAUGGUGCGCAACAUCGGCAGCAAUGUGGAUGCGACGUACCGAGCCACGGUCACCAGCCCCGCCGGCAUGCGCGUCGACGCGAGGCCGCAGAAGCUGCAGUUCAGCACUACGCACAACACACAGGAGUACCAGCACCUACCUAGAGGAGUUGCGGCACGGCUCGUCCCGAGUUCUGCAGUUAACGUGUACACCUCUCACGUGGACACGAGCAAACCAGAACUCCUCUACUCGUUGCUUCGGCAGGUCCUGCAGGACAAUGCUAUAAAAAUACAAUCAAGGAAGGCUCCAACAAAAGCAUCCAAGUCACGGCUCGAGACGACCAAACGAGAGACGACCUCGAUCAAGGUCCAGCGCCCCGCCUCCUUCGCCGACGACCAGAGCGACGCCCUCGGCCCCCUCCUCCCACGGUACUCAUGCUCCAUGGUAUGCCCCUCCUUCGAUAAGACUAACAUACCCAUUGAUACACUAUGGGGUAAUGCUAGAGAUGCUUUAAUUAAGCUGUCUUUCUACCUCCUGACUGCUACUGAACAAGUAUCGCAGAUCGGGCACUCUGCCACGGAGGCGGAGGCGCUGCGCCUGCGCGCGGCGGCGCUCGCCCUGGUGCUCCUCGGCGUAGCUCAGGCCAUGACGGCCGCGGCGGCCGUCGUGGUCCUGGCGGGGGGUUCCCUCACAUUUCUGGGCCGGCGCCUCGUCGCCAGCGCGCUCGUCGUCGCUGCCACCAAUACCUACCUUCUUUUCCGAGUCGUCUACAUGGUGGCAGUCGUCGCCGGCGGGCAGAGCGCCGGCGGGAACGUCCUCGACCUCUGGACCCAAAUCUCCAUCGCCUGCUCCUUCUUCUCCUUCUUCUGCGCCAGCCUCGCCGCCACCCUGGCUGGGCCUAAUUAA
rnacentral:rRNA from 1 species